GGGUUGUGAGGUUAAGCGACUAAGCGUACACGGUGGAUGCCUAGGCAGUCAGAGGCGAUGAAGGGCGUGCUAAUCUGCGAUAAGCGUCGGUAAGCUGAUAUGAAGCGUUAUACCCGACGAUACCCGAAUGGGGAAACCCAGUGUGUUUCGACACACUAUCAUGAUGUGAAUACAUAGCAUCAUGAGGCGAACCGGGGGAACUGAAACAUCUCAGUACCCCGAGGAAAAGAAAUCAACCGAGAUUCCCCUAGUAGCGGCGAGCGAACGGGGAGGAGCCCAGAACCUGAAUCAGUUUGUGUGUUAGUGGAAGCGUCUGGAAAGUCGCACAGUAAAGGGUGAUAGUCCCGUACACAAAAAUGCACAGGCUGUGAGUUCGAUGAGUAGGGCGGGACACGUGACAUCCUGUCUGAAUAUGGGGGGACCAUCCUCCAAGGCUAAAUACUCCUGACUGACCGAUAGUGAACCAGUACCGUGAGGGAAAGGCGAAAAGAACCCCGGCGAGGGGAGUGAAAUAGAACCUGAAACCGUGUACGUACAAGCAGUGGGAGCCUUGAUUAAUCAGGGUGACUGCGUACCUUUUGUAUAAUGGGUCAGCGACUUAUAUUCUGUAGCAAGGUUAACCGAAUAGGGGAGCCGCAGGGAAACCGAGUCUUAACUGGGCGUUAAGUUGCAGGGUAUAGACCCGAAACCCGGUGAUCUAGCCAUGGGCAGGUUGAAGGUUGGGUAACACUAACUGGAGGACCGAACCGACUAAUGUUGAAAAAUUAGCGGAUGACUUGUGGCUGGGGGUGAAAGGCCAAUCAAACCGGGAGAUAGCUGGUUCUCCCCGAAAGCUAUUUAGGUAGCGCCUCGUGAACUCAUCUUCGGGGUAGAGCACUGUUUCGGCUAGGGGGUCAUCCCGACUUACCAACCCGAUGCAAACUACGAAUACCGAAGAAUGUUAUCACGGGAGACACACGGCGGGUGCUAACGUUCGUCGUGAAGAGGGAAACAACCCAGACCGCCAGCUAAGGUCCCAAAGUCAUGGUUAAGUGGGAAACGAUGUGGGAAGGCACAGACAGCCAGGAUGUUGGCUUAGAAGCAGCCAUCAUUUAAAGAAAGCGUAAUAGCUCACUGGUCGAGUCGGCCUGCGCGGAAGAUGUAACGGGGCUAAACCAUGCACCGAAGCUGCGGCAGCGACACUUAGGUGUUGUUGGGUAGGGGAGCGUUCUGUAAGCCGUAGAAGGUGGCCUGUGAGGGCUGCUGGAGGUAUCAGAAGUGCGAAUGCUGACAUAAGUAACGAUAAUGCGGGUGAAAAACCCGCACGCCGGAAGACCAAGGGUUCCUGUCCAACGUUAAUCGGGGCAGGGUGAGUCGACCCCUAAGGCGAGGCUGAAAAGCGUAGUCGAUGGGAAACAGGUUAAUAUUCCUGUACUCGGUGUUACUGCGAAGGGGGGACGGAGAAAGCUAGGUUAUCCGGGCGACGGUUGUCCCGGUUUAAGCGUGAAGGUGGAUGACUUUGGUAAAUCCGGGUCGUCAUUAACACUGAGGCGUGAUGACGAGUCACUACGGUGAUGAAGUAACCAAUGCUACGCUUCCAGGAAAAGCCUCUAAGCUCCAGGUAACAUCAAAUCGUACCCCAAACCGACACAGGUGGUCAGGUAGAGAAUACUCAGGCGCUUGAGAGAACUCGGGUGAAGGAACUAGGCAAAAUGGUGCCGUAACUUCGGGAGAAGGCACGCUGAUGGUAGGUGAAGUGACUUGCUCACGGAGCUGAAAUCAGUCGAAGAUACCAGCUGGCUGCAACUGUUUAAUAAAAACACAGCACUGUGCAAACACGAAAGUGGACGUAUACGGUGUGACGCCUGCCCGGUGCCGGAAGGUUAAUUGAUGGGGUCAGCCGCAAGGCGAAGCUCUUGAUCGAAGCCCCGGUAAACGGCGGCCGUAACUAUAACGGUCCUAAGGUAGCGAAAUUCCUUGUCGGGUAAGUUCCGACCUGCACGAAUGGCGUAAUGAUGGCCAGGCUGUCUCCACCCGAGACUCAGUGAAAUUGAACUCGCUGUGAAGAUGCAGUGUACCCGCGGCAAGACGGAAAGACCCCGUGAACCUUUACUAUAGCUUGACACUGAACCUUGAGCCUUGAUGUGUAGGAUAGGUGGGAGGCUUUGAAGCGAGGACGCCAGUUCUUGUGGAGCCAACCUUGAAAUACCACCCUUUAAUGUUUGAUGUUCUAACGUGGGCCCGUAAUCCGGGUUGCGGACAGUGUCUGGUGGGUAGUUUGACUGGGGCGGUCUCCUCCCAAAGCGUAACGGAGGAGCACGAAGGUUAGCUAAUCCUGGUCGGACAUCAGGAGGUUAGUGCAAAGGCAUAAGCUAGCUUGACUGCGAGAGUGACAGCUCGAGCAGGUGCGAAAGCAGGUCUUAGUGAUCCGGUGGUUCUGAAUGGAAGGGCCAUCGCUCAACGGAUAAAAGGUACUCCGGGGAUAACAGGCUGAUACCGCCCAAGAGUUCAUAUCGACGGCGGUGUUUGGCACCUCGAUGUCGGCUCAUCACAUCCUGGGGCUGAAGUAGGUCCCAAGGGUAUGGCUGUUCGCCAUUUAAAGUGGUACGCGAGCUGGGUUUAGAACGUCGUGAGACAGUUCGGUCCCUAUCUGCCGUGGGCGUUGGAAGAUUGAGAGGGGUUGCUCCUAGUACGAGAGGACCGGAGUGAACGCACCACUGGUGUUCGGGUUGUGAUGCCAAUUGCAUUGCCCGGUAGCUAAGUGCGGAAGAGAUAACCGCUGAAAGCAUCUAAGCGGGAAACUUGCCUCGAGAUGAGUCUUCCCUGGGCACUAGAUGCCCCUGAAGGGCCGUUGAAGACGACGACGUAGAUAGGCUGGGUGUGUAAGCGUAGCGAUACGUUGAGCUAACCAGUACUAAUGACCCGAGAGGCUUAACCUUACAACACCGAAGGUGUUU
rnacentral:rRNA from 1 species